ACUCCUGGUACAAACCAACACUGUGUGUUGCUGAAACUUAGCGGUGGAACUGAGCUGCAGAUAGGUUGGGUAUUUCUUCAGAAUGUGGUUAGGAAUAAGAGUGGAUGGAAAUGGUUUCCCUAUGUUGAGAAAACAAGUUGAGAGCUCUUGAAAAUUACAUUUUCAGGAACCACAGAUGUCAAACACUGAAUACUUCAACAUUCAUAUUUGUGGAGGAGUGCCUAAUCCAGAAAAAGUUCCAGUUCAUUUUCGGUUUAAGCUCCUGCUGAUGUACAAACAGCAUGUGCUGUAACUCAUUCCAAGCUAAGUGCUGAGGGCCAUCUGGUAGACGUAACUGACCAGGACAUAAUUCAAGAAAAAGAAGAAAGACACAGAAAAAAAACUAAAUUACAGAAGUUAUACAGGAAUGUGUGUUCUGGUGACCAAUCAUUGCAAGUUUUUUCUGCCCAAAUGAAAAGUACGCAAUAGGUAACUCUCUCUCUUCUUCCUAUGAAUUCUGGAGUGUCCCUAAAGGUCAUGGACUUCAAAUCUUAAAGAGCUGUUGUGACAACAGGCCAGUAAGGCUUGGAGAGUGGCAGCACAAGUGCAACUCCUUCAUCUACAAUAAGCAUCCCCAGUUGCUGUCCUCUGUCAACGUGGCACCGAACCAGUUCACUCCACAUGUAGAUCAAGUACAGAGCAGACCUUAAUACUGGAAAGUGAACCUCAGCUAAAAAAAAAAAAAAAAAAAAAAGAAAAAAAAGAAAAAAAGCAAACACAAGGCACCAUGUAAUCACUUCAGCUGCUCACUGGUGUAGUGAUGAGAUCCUCUGAACUAUUAUGGCUGCUUGGAUGCUCAGAAGAAAGAUGACUUUGAAGGUUUCUAAAACUGUGUCUUUCAUGGCAGACAGAUAUCAAAGCACCAUCUGGUCUAAGCAGAGGAAAAUACUGCUUGUCUUGGUUGCAGCUGGGGGGGAUCCUGGCCACAGAAAGGAGGACCAGAAACUUUCAAAGGUUAUGUACCUUGUGUGAAAGGUAGAACUCUCCAGGAGGCUUCUGCUGUCUUUGCCUUCAUCUUCCAUAGUAAAUCUGCACCAAAUGUGUGGUCUUAUUGGCACAUCAGCAUGCAGGGAAAUGAACCAUCGUAAUAGACUUCAAAAGUCUUCCUCCUCAGCUCAUGACAAGAAAUGGAUAAUUACCUGUCCAUUGGAUUAGAGCAGCCACCACGGAUCACUCAGGAAAGGCAAAUAACUUUCCUUUUACCUGUCCUUUUGUAUGGAUAUGCCCACUGCUCUGUCCAAGUUUCCUAUCACAUAGGACAAUAAAACUCUAAAUUACAAUAAGAUUAAGCAUAGAGUUUUCUGUUGAUGUUUGUCUUUUAACGUAUUACAAAAUGACUUAAGGUUUGAUUAUAUUAAUGUCAGAAAUUACUAUCAAACUUCUUGGUUUUCAUGGUAUCUUCAUUGUUGACAAAACAGUUCUAGUGAAGGUUUUCUAAAAUCUAAAUUCCCUGUGUUUACUUCUUCAUUUCAAAACUAAAUGGUACAAGCAUAUUCCUUUUAGCAUUUGCAUUCAUUCUGCGUUUAUUUAUAAUCUGCUGAGAACAAAAAAAAAAUCUCAGUGUGAUUUGCCUUAUCUUAAAUAGUGGACAAUGGAGCCAAAAUGUAAAACCAUCUAUUAGCAUGUCAGUCAGAGUGUUAUUGUACUCCCCCAAAAUAGUAUGUCUUUGAACAAGACUAUGAUUUAUGAUUCAGAAUCACAAAAGCUCUUUCUAAGCCAGUAAAGAAGACAUCUGGGAAGAGCACAUCUAAGCCUAUUCAAACCUUAGAGAUUUUACCCAUAUAUAAAUUCAAAUUAUCUGCUUUCAGCAUUGCAGUAGUGUUUCAGAAUGACAAAAGGAACUGAUCACUGGUGUACAACAGGCUGACUUAACCACAGGCUUCACUGGCAGUGUGCAAGAGAGGUUUUGUAAAUGUGGCGUUAAGAAUAACUGGUGGUUAUCUUGUAUUUAGUGUGAGCAAGAAAAUAAUUCAAGUAAAUAUAAAUGAUAGUUCUUAGAUGGCAGCUCCCUAUAAAUUUAUGUCUAAUAUUAAUAAUUAUACUUCUAAGAAAAUUAAGGAUCUGUCAAGGCUAUUGAAUUCAGAUUUAAGAAGAAGCUUUAAGAACAUUGGGGUUUGUCACAUACAGAAUAAGCAAAGGCAGCUGAAGGACCUUCACACACUGCAAGUCAAAGUGGUUGAAGCUGAAGCUGCAGAAGCCAGAGCAGGAAUGGAUGAUGACUAUCUAGUGUUCAUGCAGUCAUCAGAUUCUUGUAUAAAGUUUGGUGAUGUUAUUUUAAAUGCCUGCUUUGUGCUGAGUGUAAGAUCUGGAAUAAUAAUCGAUGAAAAAGGAUUCUGAUUCCAGCAUAUUUAAGGACAAAACUUUCAUUGACUUCAGUUGAGCAAGGAAAACAUCGAGUAAGUAUUUUUGCAUGUUGCUGCAAAUAUAGUGCAUAACAUAGGAACUACACAUUUUGAGAUGUAGGUCAGUAUAUUUGAACUUCUUGUCCCUCUUUUCUACCUGGCUGUGCCACAGAAUUCCUGUUCAUCCCUUUAACAUGCUUGCCAUACUGUCAUUAAAAAAAAAAAAAAAACAUGACAUGCUGUCAGACCAACUUCUGAAUUAGAGGGCAAGUAUUUUCUAGGAGGCGAAUUGGAAAACCUCACACUGAAUUUGUCAGUGUGAAAUGCUAAGUGCUAGCUAUUCUAUUAGCUUUGUAGAGGAUUUACCUGCGGAAUCCAAGUGCAUAGACAACUGUGCUAAGAAAUUUCAAACGUGAUCUUCAGCAUCGCUCUUGUGCAGGAGAUGGAGAACUGCCUUUCAGAAAUUGCUAUUUUCUGCACACACUGAAGUCUACCACCGGCUUCAAGUACAGGCAGGACUUUUCUCUGGAAGACGCAUUUCCAGUAGCAAAGAAUGAUGUAAUGGAUUUUUUAUGUGAGCAAAUGGACACUUAGUGCACAUAAUUAUAUUUCCUUAGUAUCAUUUGCCUAAGUUCAAAAUAUGUAAUUCAUUUAGUGUUUUAUAAAUUGUUGGUUUGGAGUUGUGCCUGAAAUUAGAACAAAAAUUCAAAUGACCAUAAAGUUAUUUUUUAAUAUGGAGGGCACAUAUAAAUUGAAGAAACCAAAUCAAGGCAUAAUUCAGGGUCAUUAUAAAUAGCAUCUUCACACUGAAAUGUGCUGAUAUAAAAAAAAAAUAAGUACAGGAUUAAAUAUACAGAAAAAUAAAGUGAACACUUGCAAUAAACCAAUUAAAUGUGAACUUGUUCAUAGGAAAAAAUAUUGUUUACCCUGUCCAGAGAUGGAUUUAAGAUCUACUGAUAAUUAGAAAAUCUUGCUAAUAUGACUAUAGGACAUUAAAAAUUCCUAUGCAGUAUUUCAUCAAAUGAUAGGAUGUGAAAUACAGGAAACUGCAUGCACUUUUCAUUCCUUUUAGUACCACGUGCUUCAGCAGUUUUUAGAUAUGCUGCCUUCUAGAAAGCUAUAUCUUCUGGAUGUCACUGGCCUUGCAAUAUUUCUGCUCUACUCUAGUUCUCCUGUAACAGAUUAGAUUUGGUAUUGAAACCCUUCCAGGUUAUUUGGAGUAUUUACACCUCUUGAACGAAAUGGAAAUUAACUUGUUACAUGAUCAAAAUUCAUCAGGACAACAAAUUACUAUAACGGAUACUCAGCUGUUCUGCUCUAGGUGUCCAUCCUUGGAGACUUCUGAUAUGUAGCUUAUGGGAAAUACUAACUUUAAAUGAAGAAGAAGAAAUUCAGUAUUGCACCAAAGGUUGUGUGUCAAGUAGUACACAUCCAGUAAGAGAGCUUGUUGCUAGGCUAAUAAGGGAAGUAGAGUCAGGUCAAUGAAAUGUUUAGAAGUUUUUAAAAGGCAUGUGGCUGUAGCCUUUCUUGUUAGACCCAAGUUUGCUUUAGCAAAAUACUGUAAUUUGCUGCAAUCUAAGGAUGCUCUUGCACUUCAAGUGUGUGCAGUGCAUUCAGAUGGCAUAAUAUAUAUCUGCUUUUCCUGCUUGCUACGUUCAGUACUCAAGGACACCUUUGAGAAAGGAUCAAUCAUUUUGUGCACGUCUGACAAAUUUCAGAAAGGUUUCCAGACUACUGCAGAGCCAUGUUGUUUCUUUUUUGUUCAUAUUUUCAGUUUACGACACGCAUAGAGCUUUGCCAUUAGAAUUAUCAGAACAAUACAAUUUAUCUAAUUUUAUUUACAAUUAUAUUCAGCAUUAUUAUAUAUAUUUGCACAAAUUGGUGACUAAAAUAGAGAUGGCCCUGAACUGAAAUGUUUAUUCCAAAUACUCUGAACCUUUUUAAAAGGGUGAAGUACAGAUUCAAGUUUGAUUUUUCUUAUGGUAAUCUAGGUAAGAGGUAAUUAUUUCUGCCAUAAUUACUGUUAGUCCCAAACUUCUAAGCGUGAUUUAACCCUGAAGUUUCCUCAGUAGUAAAGAUGUGCUUUCUGUCAUGGUGAAAUAUGAAUAUUGAUGAAAAUAGUGGUUCAGGAACAAUGACAGCUCUUUUUUAGUCGAAAUUUCCAUUCCAGAGACUUCUCAGCAAAGUUUCCAAAGCACGUAUCCAACUCCAGCCUAACACUCACAAAAAAGGAUGCAGUUGUUUGUGGCAGGUGGGCACUGCUCUAAGCUGGUUCUGCAAGAGAUUUCAAGGCAUUAAACAGGGCAUGGACAAGGGUCCGAGGGUCAUGGCCAUACCUCUGAUCUCCUGUUUGAGCAGGAGUGAGAUAAAGGCCAUUCCAAUAAGUACGUGGAGCCAGUUCUCUCUAUAGAUGAGAGGCAAGACAUGAAAAAUAGUCUCCAAGCACAGCAACCACAGUUGUUCCUGAGCUUUUUUGUUUUGAAGAAGGAUGGAUUUUUUUUCACCUGUGUGCUCUGUAUAAAUAUAUAUGUUUCAGGAACAGAUGACAACCCUGUGAAAUGAAAUAAUAUUUGUUUUUACUUCCUUGUUAUUUGUUAUUGAUAAGGGCUUUUAUUAUUUUUUUCUUGUUAAGGGGUAUUUCCAUUUGCAUUUAACUUCAGGCCAAAGCCAAGACCCAUUGAUGAGAAGGAAUGAUUUUGUAGGAUUCAGAGGCACCAGUUUUUUUUAAAUCUCUGAGAAAGCACCCCUUACAGAGAGUGUUCUGGACCCUUUAUGAUGUUACAUUGUGGUGAAUUUUAUAAUUGUCUCCUACUGCAUACGGUGCUAAUAAAUGACUCUCUACUAGGUAAAUACUUUUACUCCUAAAAUGUGGAUUACUGUAAGUGAUUCAGAAGUCCUAAUGAAUAGUUAUGCAUAAGGAAGUAAUUUUGGAAAUGAGUUUUUUGAGUGCAUGAAAACACAAAGAAGUGCCCCUUGCUUAGAAGGUGCUGAUGAGAUCAAACAAGUCCAACAGAAAAUGGAGCUCUUGGACUUGACAGGAAUAAUUUUGUUAAGUGUGAGCAGAUAUGACUGUCAAAAAGAGUAAGCAUCUAAAUAAGAGGCAUUUAAUCUUACUAUAAAACAGUGCUUGAAGGAUUUGCAAACAUUCAUCAAGUCCUUUUAGUAUGGGCAAGGAAUAUUUUAGGCUAGAUUGUGACUAUCCUUUCUGGCAGAAUUCAAUUUAUGAAUACAAAUGGCCUCUACCUAGAUGGCUAAUAGUAAAUAGGUUAGAGGAUGUCUUAGGAUCAGUAUUGAGACUAUGUGUCUGUGCACACACAGCUGGCAUGAAAAGAAAAUGAGGAAUGAGGAGGUCACAGGCUGCUUCUGGGUAUGAUGUUUCUUACAGCACUGGUUAAAUUUAAGUUUGACUGGUAUAAUUUCCUGGUUGAUAUACCACAGCUUAGGUCUGCAUUCUUAUGCAUUUCUUCCCCAGCUUCAUUUCUUUUAGAGAAUUUAUUUCUUGUCUGGGCUCAGUCCUUUUGCUCUCAGGCUUUCAGUAAGCCUCCUAUUUCACUUGCACUCUAAUUAAAAAAAUUCUUCAAUAUUUCAGGAGUCCUACGGUGUUUCUGCUGUCCUGUAAAACUUCAGGUGUGGGGAAAGCUGGAGUUUAUUUUCGGUUUGGGUUUUGGGGGUGUUUUUUUUUUUUCAGUAAAAAUGUAGGCCUUUGUUUCUGCAGUAUUUUUUGAAGUUUCCCCCAGAGUGUCUGAGAAAAAUCUUCCAAACAGCUUCUGGCUUCUGACUUUUCUUUUUCAGCUCUGCAUACAACACACAAAACUUCUCUCAUAUUUUUUUCCCUCUAUAGAAAGGCUUCACCCUUCAGAAAGGCUGCCUUUCCCUUCACUUGCUAUCUAGCUGUCUCAGACUCUCUUUUGUUUGAAGUAUUCAGGUAGGGCUGAGUGAAAUGUAUUUAUUUUUUCAUUUGCUUUCAGAUAAGACUGGAUUUUCUUGUGAUGCCUUGCAUUAAAAUUUGAGCUAUAAAUGAUGAUGAUGUCUACAUACCGAGUGCUGUGUGCUAAGAUGCCUGAGGAUAUGUUGUGCCUGAUGUGCAAACGUUUCUCGAAAUUCUCUUGCACAUGUCACAUACUCUUUUCAGUCCUUAGUUCAGUAUGAGCAUCAGAAAUUAUGCCUGUAAUUUUACUGAAAAAGGAUAUGCUAUCAAUUUCACAAUAAAGCUUCCAUGCUAACUGCUGUGUACAUUAACUUUUGUUUAAAAUAUCACCAAUGAGAAUCAGCACAUAGACCCAGAUACUUACCUCGUAUUAUCUUUCUCAUAAGAAUGGAUUUUAGCAGAUGGGUAGACCUAAAAAUGCGCUGUGGUAAACGCCUGGUUUUGUGAAAGAUUGUUUGUUCUAUAAAGUUGAAGUAGUUGUUAUUAGUCAUUUUACAUUUUUAGAGGAUGCCGUUUAGCAGACUGGCAUCAAGGCAGUCAAACAAAUUUAACUGACGUUUCUUGAAAACCAAGCACAUCAGCUGCCAAAGGUUAAAGUGAAGUAUAUUUAUCUGUGGAAAAUCAGAGGAGUCUGUUUUGAUGAACUAGAGCUUCUGCUUUUCUUCUGUAACUUUGGAUCAGGAAAGUAAUGGCUCUAACACACAGUCUCAGAAAAUGCUUCUGGUAGUCAGACAACCAUUUUCCCUGGAAAACGCAGCAAGUGACAUGUGUGCUCUUAUGGAAGUGCCUGGAGGAGAAUCCAAGAUCAUGCAGCUCUUAGGAAAUAGGAACUCCAGAGCUUGACCAGUUCAGCAUCUGCCUAGGGACAUAAAAGGUGUUUUCAGUUCUUCAUGUAAGAUUAUAGUCCCCGAUGACCCGGCUCUGUGCUCUGUGAACCUGCAAUGAGUAGGGCAAAGUUUAAACUUCUCUCCGUGAUUCUUCCUACCCUGUGUCUGCUUCACCUUUUGUUCCAGACUUUACUGUCUCGUGUCUUUUCAGAGUGUUUUUAAGGCAUCCAAAUUGAUGGCACCUAGGCAGGCUCAACUCCACUUCACUCAGAAUUUUACUCUGAACCCCAUUUAUUGGUAAUGCCUCGUAUAUAUUUGAUGUUCUGAAAAUGGUGAAAGAAAACAUGGUUUCAGUACUGAGGAAGGAGAAUGAAGUUUACAGAUGGAGAAGGAGCACUGGAGAUCCUGGAAUUGUCAUACAAGUAUUCAGCACAUUUUAGAUCCCAAAUUAAUAGCUGAUAAUCAAGUUACUUUAAUGUAUUCAGUUUCAGUAAACUUUAUUAAAUACUGUAAUAUUUCUAAAAUGCUAAACAAGUAAAGAAUGUUAUUCAGACAUCAGAUUUUUUCAGAGAGGAAAAUGACUCUUUCAGUGCAGAUAUUUCUGGUAACGUGGAAAAAAUAAAUAAAUCACAUUAUCAAUGGAAGAAAUAAAUUAUCCUAAAGGAACAUUUAAUCUUUCCUUUGUAUACACAAGGAAGGAAUCCAUACUGCUUUAAUCUGGGGUUGUGUUGGUUUCAGUUUUCUCCGGUGAUGGAUAAGGAUGUGAUUAUUUGUGACAAAUAUUAAUUUCUUGUAGGUAUUUUAUAUAAAAACACAGAAGUGACAAGAAGCAUAAUAGGCAUUCAGGCCAUGGGGGAAGUUUAAUCUGGUUUUGAACCACAUUUAGUUCAGUAGGAGUGCACUGCACUCAUUCCUGAAUGAGAUUUAGUUAUUUUGUGCACAGAUUAUGAUAUCACCACAAUAAGCAUGACAAAUGCUCCGGUUUGAGCAGGAAUCCUAUCUGAAUGUUAAAGAUCCCUUUCCAGGCAUUGCCUCUGGAUUUCUAAUCUCCUAACCCUGUUCAUUAUGAAAAAUACAUGAGACAUCAGCAUUUUAAUAAAGAAAUUGAAAGACCAGAAAGAAGGAAAAGCAUCCAAUUAAAGUUCCUGUGGGAAAAGGCUUCUUUCCUGUAAACACAUGGAAACACACAUGUGCACCCACAACCCUCCUUUCUCCGGUGCAAAGUUCUUCACUGUUUUUGGACUCUCUCUGGUACAAACUCUUAAUGGGAGACCUGACUGAUACUGUGUUUGAUCAGGUGCUCCUAGAAAGUGAUUACUGUACAGUCUCUGUAGGAUGGAUCGAGCAGGUGUAGUCUGAAAACCCUGAGUCCGGUUUAACAAAGUGAAAAGUGAAAAUACUUGCUGACAGAGAACGUUCUUUCACAGAAAGUGCAGAUAGAAAAUUAGGAGUUUUUUCGUCAGGUCUCAAAUGUAGGUAGCCCAGUCUUCUUACAGCUAAAGAAUGGUGAUUGCCUGUAGAGCUUUCCAGAGAAAUGAGGAGGUAGUGCAAAGAGAACAGAAAUACAUUUUGCACUUAAGUUCAAGAUAAUUGUUUUGUGUGAGGCAUUAUAUAUGACAUAAUUGACAUGUUAAAGCUCUCAAAUUGAUAUAAUAAGGCAUUCCUAAGACUUACAAUUAGUGAUUGUGGCCUUAAAAAGUCCUUGAUCUGAGCACACUUUCCAUUUCUUUUAGUACGCGUACCUACCUUGCUGAGAUUCUCCAUUAAUAUUUUUUUGUUGUUUUAAUUUUUAUAUUUUGUGAAAAUAUCCACUCGCUUCAGUCUGAAUUAGAGCUCUUAUUUUAAACCACUGUUGUUUCUUCACUGUAAUUUUAAAUACUUUGUGGCUUUUUCCUUGUGUGUAAUAGCUUGUCCUCAUGCAAUAGCUGUUUGUAACCAGGAGGUUCUACUGAAGUUAAAAAAAAUUAAUGAAAAUUUGAACUGGGAAACAGUUGCUGAUGGUUUGGAGUGCCAGUUGGACUGUGUUCGUUAUAGUCACUAGUUAUAAAACCAAACUUUUGUUAACAUAUUGCCAUUGAACAUUUUGUAAAAUUUCUCUCAAGAUCAGCUGCAUAAACCUAGUUGCCUUGUGUAAAAUUCAGCUCAGCCACCCAAAACUAUUUCUCUUUUGCUUAAUUCAUGUGCUACACAAAACAAUGCUUUUCCUUCUGUGAAGAUACUUUAAUUAACUAUUUGGUGAAAGAUAACUGCCUGAAUGCAAGGUGAUUCUAAUAGUUAGAAAAGUUUAACUGUAGUAUCUAUUUAGUAAUAAAGGUAAGCUUAUUGAUUAAGAAAAGACAGGUCUUUUAUAAUUGGAAGUAAUCUGUGUACUUCAUGUAAUCUAGCAGUAAUUGACUGUGCACCCACAGGGCUACUUAAGUUCAAAACCAAUUUGGUAAUCUUCCAAGUGGAAAUUACGAUAAAUUAAGGUCAUUUCUCCAAGGAAUGACGUAAACACUUAAGUAAUGGAGCUCCUCUCUUUAUGUUGAGUCACAUAAGGAAAAUUAGAGCCUGCUUAAUUACAUCUAUUGUUGAAUGUUUCGAUCAGGCAUUUAAAUACCUGCGGUGGGGCUCACAAUUACAUUUCUCCUCACUAAGCUGGAAAAAUUAAACCCCUAAGCAAUCAGGGCAGUCAUAUCUGUUCUGCACUAAAGGCAGUGGGAGAAAACAGGCUAACUAGUAAAGCUAUCAAAACAAAACAAAAAACACCAACAAAAAACACCAAAACAAAAACAAAGCAAAAAAACCCAAGGCCUAUAGAUUUGUUUCUUUUUUUCAUUUCACAUUAAAAUAUGUAUUGCUGUCUGUUAUAUGUUUACACAUUGCCAUCAGAAAAGCCAAUUAUCAGUUGCUCAGAGUAACUUAAGGUUUCUCUUUUAUUUUUUUCAAAAGGUAUGAAGGUGUAUAAUAGAUGGCCAAGUAGGCAUUUUCCCUUCUUGUUUCUUCAUAUCUCCAUGUCAUUUUGCAAGAUAUACUGUGUUUUCAAAAGAGAGGCUGAGCAGUGUGCAAUACUGUGUGGGACCACACAGCUGGAUUGUCUUUAGCCUUCUCUGAACUCCAAAAAUGAUCAUAUAUAAAUACUGUCAUUUUGUAGUGUGACUACAUGGAGAAACUCUUCUUCAUACUCAGAAUUUGCUCCUUGGCAUAUUUUAUUGAUGUUAUCUUUAAUCAAACAGAAAAGCUAUUCAGUGACAUGAAACCAGAUUUUUGGAAUUAAAUAUUUAAGCAGCUGAAGUCCUUGAUGUGCUUUUCAUGUUUCAGUUCUGGCAGCCUGACUCUGGCUUUUGAGUUUUGCACAGGCUUCCAGGGAGCAAUACUGCUCUGAGAAACAGGAUUCAGCUUGGGGGCACCCUGUGCCUUCUGUGAGAACAGACAUGAGACUUUUAGGGGGAUUCUUUGCUGUUCAGUUUACUCAUUAACCUACUUAGUUCUGCACUACACAAUCCCUCAUUUCCCUUCAUUAUUUAAGACAGCAAGAGCAGAAAAUACUUUCUCAUGGGUCUUGGAGAGGUAGAAAGGACAGACAGUACUGCACUGAGCAGAUAGGAAUGGACAUAUGGAGCAGGAUUUAUUUCAGGCCAUUAGGUCUUGUGAGCAAUAGACACUGAAUUAACAAAUGUGAAUUUCUUGGUUUUCGUGUUCAAACUUUUUGGCCUAUUCAGGUAAACUGAUAUGCAAUGAAUUGACUCAAGAAAUGCACAGGAGGGCUACAUUCAGAUGGAUUAGCUGAAAAAGCCUGUGCAAACUAUAGUUGAUGUUGACAAGUGAACUAUGGAGUCUGUAUUUUAUUGAAUUUUGUUCAGUUCAAUAAUGUAUGAAAAUGACAGGAGGAAAUGUAUUAAACUUAUACAAAUGGAUGUGACAGUCAUGCAUGAACAUUCUGGACAUAAAAAACUACUUAAUCAUCUUUCUUGGAUAAUAGCAUUUGAUGUUGUUCUCAGAAGUACUUUAAAUAUAAGUACAUACUAUUAAUAAAGCAAUAGAAUUGAAUAUUAACAGGAAUUUCAUGUAAGUUCAUGAAUAUGCAUCCAGGUGUCUUCUGCCUCUGGACUAGAUACCCAUGAUUUUCAUUGCCUGCCUAUGACCAUGGUCCUAUGUAGUCAAUUAAAAAAUCUGUUACAUAUAACAACAUAUGAAUAAGCCAAGACCUCCUACAUGACUACAAGUCUAUAUUGUUAUAAGGAACAUUCGAUUUUGUGCAGACAAGAUUGGAUAUUUCUGAACGGUAAUUAUGCUUUUGCAAUGCGUUAUAAUUGGAUGAAUGACAUGAAAAAUGUUUCCCUUCUUAUAUUUUGUGGAACCAGAACAGUGGUGGGUGAGAUAUAUUAACAGUAAAUAAAACCAAUGUAUCUUGCUUAUUUCACAUGGUAUUUUAUGUUUCACUGUAUAUUUAGACUUUGUGACUGUGUGAAUGAUACAAGUGACAAAGUGUUCACUUAUAAAAGGCACAUUCUUAUAAUAGUAAUGUUUAACAACUGAGUUAAAAUGGUUCUUAAAAUCUUCCUUAGCUCUGUACAAUAAGAAAACAAAACAAACAAAUAAAACAAGAAAAGAAGCAUUUCAACCUUGCUCAGCAAUUAAAAAUUUUAAAAAUAUUUGUACUCCUGGUAUAUGUCACUAUUAGUGCGUGAAAUAUGGGGUUUUCAGAAAAUGGAGGAAAAAAAAAAAAGACUAAAUCUAUUAAUUGUGCAAAGAUGAUAAAGGACUCUAAAUUUAAUUGAUCCUUGCUUAAGGGUUUGCAAAGUCACUCUCUAUUUUAUCUCAAUGGUAAGGUACCUGCUUCAUUGAAAGAAAAAAGGGGUUUGCCAUUGGCUUCAGCAGAAACUGGAUUUUUUCCCCAUAAAGUGCAAAGUAUUGUAGAGAUUUCAUUUAUUUUCUCAAUAGGGUACUUCUUAUAAGGAAUUAGAGAAGUUUCUCCAGAUCUGUACUCAAAUAAAUUUCACACACUCAGUAUUAAACACCGUUAUGACAUUCUGGGUCCCAGGAACUAAAUUCAUUUUUUAGAAGGAUUCAGCAAAAAUAUUCAAGUAACAGGAAUUUUAAAAUGCUGUGACUGUGUUUUGGAAUCCAUUUCAAAGACAGAUGGACUUUCUUCUUUUUAUAGCUUCAGCCGAGCUUCCCUUACCUGGCUGAGUGUUCCCACCUGUAUCCUGUAUCCACAGGGAUCCCUGUCUUGUGCCUCGUGUGGUUUUUACAUCAGAGGUGCUGGUUAGUGUGAAUCUCAGCAGUACGGACUGGCUGGCACCUGAGUAGAAAUGCAAAGAAACAUCAAUGUAUGUGUAAAAAAGGGUUUGAUUUAAGGUGCGUGUAAAGUAUUAAUACUUUUUAACUGAAAAAAUGUAUGGUCUUAAGGCAAGUUGGUUUACAAUUGAAAAGGCUGUGUUUUGUAUUUCUGCAUAGGAAGCAUGCAACAGUCUCCUCUAGCAGGCUGAUUUGAAAGCUCAGCUGAAUACAAUCAGAUUGUGGCUUUCUGAACAAUGAACUGUGCUUUGCUGUGAGUCUUUUUCCUAGCCAGAGAUAGAGAUGAGGAUGCUUGAACUUAACAAAAUGCUUUAUGGCAUGGCCAGUAGUCAUGCCUCAGUUCACCUGACUUGUAUUUCAGUAAGGAUUAGAAGGGCCUCUGUAAUGAUUACACAGAUUUUUCUGGGAAUGUUAAAGUAUAAACAAAUUAUUAGAAACCGUAUUUGCUUAUUACAUAUUGGUUGGCUGAGAACCAGUAUCAUAUAGUUGGUAUAGCUACAAAGUUGUAGAUAGUGAAGAUAAUUCUGCCAAUAAACUUAAGGAAAGUUUGGAAUACUUGUUCUACUUUUUCCCUCCUUUUAGUAUUUCACUAUUAAUCUACUCCUGCCAGAAGCAAGCUUCUGUGAAAACCCACCCUUUAGGACAGAUCUUUUCAGUUUUGAAAGGAAGCAGGCUGGGGGGGAAAUCUCAGAAAGAUCUUGAUACCCCUGCACACUCUGCAUAUCAUAAAGUGUACCUCACUUUAACCAUCUGUUAGUAUUUCUAUUACAACAGCAUCUCUAGAGCAUGUUUGAUCAGUGAUUCCUCUGUGCACCCUAUAGUACAACACAAUCAUACUAAUCCAAGAGCUUAUGAUCUUAAAGUUCUAGUCUGGUAAUGGAUGCCAGUAACCAAUGGAGCACAAAAACUCCUGAAGAACAGCCCAUAAUAGCCAAACUUAUGAACCUUUGAUUGUCAAAUUGUAAAAGCAACAAGCAGUACCAGCAGCAAUAGGGAAAAAUUUCAAGCUCCUUUUGUGAGUUUAUAGCAAGGAUCCAUUCAGCAGUGUCUAGUGUGCCAGCUUGCAGACUAGAGUCAGAGUACUUUAAGCAAUUUCAUUAUAAACCCUGCUAUUGAGAAAUUUAUAAGACUGCUAUAAAACUUCACUCAAGGCUGAUCGGUGCCAAAGAACAUUCCUUUUCCACUUAAAAGAUAACAUGUGGCUGCUGUUUGUAAAUGAUAGGGUUGCAAAAGUGGAGAGAGAGAGAUUUUCAAAGUCAUAAAUUGGGAUUGGACACCCAUUCUCUGUUUCUUGGAAUAUCAGUCAAUAAAUUCAAAACAAAAAAAGGUGAGGUAAAAAACUUUUACACAAUUCCUGUGUAGCAAAGCAUAAAUUUUGAUUAAUAGGAGGAAGCAAUGAUGGAAAUUUGCCUGCAUAAAUUUUUUCCCCUUCAACAGGCUAUUUUUUUCCAACUCUGUCUUUUAAAAUUAUAAUUAGAUUUUGGAUUAUGUUCUUCUGGUGAUUGAAACUUUAAAAGGACAAGUUGCUAGAGUUUCAAAAUUAUCUUCUAUCACUUCUCCUUCAUAUAAUUUUAUACCUGCCCAUAUUGUCAUUUUAACAGCUUCCUGCUGUGAUAAAUUGUAAUGACCAUCUGCCCAUGAUCACCUGUCAGCUAUAAAAUAUUGCAAUAUACAUUUUGAAAUUGGACAAAUUAAUCUUUGCAUGAUAGACUUUUCCACUGUCUUAUUUCUUAUAUACCUCUGUAAUAUUUCUUCUUCUAAAUUUGGCUGCCUUCUAAUUAAUAAACUUAAAUAAGAAAAGUUAGACAAAGGAAAUUAAAUUCCAAGUUGCUGAAGGACAAAGAGCUUGAGUAAUAUGCACAAAAAGUGUGACAAAUAGAGUUCCUGUUGCAUCUCUGUUCUUUAAGGAUUUACAGACAAUACAGGUGGUAACAUCCCUUAUUUUCUUUCUUCUUUAGUAUGUAUAGCAAGUAUGCAUGGUAUUAUUAACAAAAUAUAUUUGCUGAGUGUAGUUCAGCCUUUCUGUCAACUCACUAUGAUUUCUAGUAUGGUGUGGUUGGUCCUCGCUGACUUGGGUAUAAAAGCCUCCCUUAUAACCACUCCACUGCUGCUCCAAGAACAAUUUGUCUUACACUUUUGUAGCAUGUUCUUGACCCAGACAUACACACACACACACACAAAAAAAGGUAGCUCCAGUUAUGAACAAAAGGAAAAGGGGUUUCUGACCACUGCUCUAAAAUUAACAGCUGGAAAAUAACUCUCCUAACAACUUUGCCAUUUCUAACUUCUUUUCUCUGGUGCUUCCUUGUAUGCUGGAAGAUCAAGAGAAUCUAGUAAAAGGGAAUGAAGGCGGACAGAUCACCAGUAAAGUGCUCUAAGUCUUAGGAAUACAACUAGAGGACAGAAUGUUUUUGCAACUUAUCUCCAGCCUCCUGAGUCCUUGGGUUUUGUGGGAAUAGAUCAACUUCUGCUUACAGAAUACAGAGCAUCUACCUUCUCCCUCUAAAAUCCUCAGCCCCUGAAAGGGAAAAUUUCUUAUCUGGAGAAGAAACAAAUUUUGUCUAGAUCAGUAAAAUGUCUUAAAGCAUCUUUCAGUUGCAGUUAGCCAGAUCAAACUCAGAAUUAAAGACAACCAUAAGGAAUAAAAGAUAAAUAACAUUGUUGGAUUUUCAUUUAAAGGUGGUACACCAUUUCAUGCAUAUAUAUACAUGCAUACACCAAAAAAAAUAUAUCUAUGUAUACUGUGUGCAGUGGUGUUUUGUUGUGACAUAGAAAAUCUUUUCAUAGUAACAUAUGAUGGCAGGAUAUUUUCCUCCCCAUAUAUGACACAGCACUGAAAUAUGAGGUGUAUGAUUUUGUGGGAAAAUAACAGUUUUAACUAUAUUACAUGUUUAAAAUCCCAACUGAAUGUAAUAUAACUUUACUAGCUCUUUUCUCCUGAGGCAUCAACACCAUUUAUCACUACUACUGCCAUCUGGCAUGUCUGAACUAUCAUGAUCAGCAUUUUAUGUGGAAAUGAAAGCAUUCAAUAGGGUCUCUCUUCUCUAAAUCUCUGAGGUCAGAUAUAAUACUGCUAGAGGCAGUGAAGAUGCAUUUUUAUCACACACUUGAGAGACAUACAUUUGACGUAUUUUAUAGUUUUCUAUGUUAAGACCAGGCAAGCUUUUUUUUAUUUGCAAUGACCUGGCAUGGGGUCAUUUGCUGUAAUAACAAGCUAAGAUUAAUUCAAGUAAGUUUUGUUAUACUGCAGUGUUGAAAGUUUGGCACAUGCAGACAGAUGUUCGGCAGCUGAAAACCACAUUUCUAGUGCAUUUUUUGUGGAACUUAAGCAAUAGAGUCACUCUCCCAACUAGUUUCUCCUCAAGGAAAGGCUGCAUUUGCUUUGCUUAGCUGAGGUCUUUGUGAAGAGGUGUUAGUUGAUCUAUUUUUCCCCAUGAAGGAUUCAUGGAAUGUGGGCUGAUGACUAGUUAAGUGUACCUUCUAGUUUAGGUUUAAAUCUUCAAUUCCAGUGUGUAAAAAUAUAUGGCUGCUCCUUUUUACAUUGCAAAUUCAUGAGUCUCUGUCAAUUUCUAAGCCUCAGUAAUCCAUCAUGUGAGAAGCAGUGUUACCACAAAUAUGUUUUAUCAUCAGCUCCUUCACGGCCAUUUGUGAUAAUUUUGAGAUAGAUGAGGAAUUCUGGAAUAAAAUAAUUGAGUCUGUAACUCUCAUGGCUUCAUGAUUUUUGGUGGUUAGGUAAUAGUAUGUUAAGGCAAAAAAUCUUCCCAAAAUUGUCAUUUACUGAGAUCAAAGAACUCAGACUUGAUGUGUGGGUUCUCUGUCCUUAUUAAUUUUCAUUAAUUCUAAAUUAAAUCUACUGAGCAACAGGCAAAGGGUCCAGUUCUAAUACAAUAGCUAGUGCUUUAUUCUGCUAUUGAUCUUGUAUUACUGCAAAAAAAAGUAGCAUUUGAUACUGUGCUACACGAAGAAGACUAGAAUCUUCCUCUACAUUGUGUUUUAAAACUGUAAUCUCAUAAAUACAUCCAGAGGGCUAAAAAUUACUUGAUGGAAAAUGUAACUUAAAAAUCACACACCAUAUCAGUGAAAUUUGUUGGGUUUUAUUACCCUUGCAAAUUCCACGUUAGAUAGGUGCUAUCCUUUUGAAUAACAGAGCUACCUUAAUUUCUCUGUUUUUCAGAUGUUUCCUAAAUAAGAACCACCAGCAGUUACCUGCAAUUUACAGCAUAGUUGGAGUUGCACAUUUCCCCCCCACCACCUUUCCUUCGAUGUGGAAGGUGCACCCACAUCCCCCUCUCCCUCAACACAUCCCCUCUCUCCUUCUGUGGGGCAGUUAGUAGCUCCUUUUGUUUGCUGUUAGCCAGGAGAGGAGAGAGGCGCUGAGAAGUCGGGAAGUUUCUGGGUGCCCAUAGCCAGAGUUGGGGGGUGCAGAGAAGCCAAGAAGCUUCUGGAAUGCCCACAGCAAGAUCUGACAAGACUAUAAAAAUGGGGUGCCCACCAAGGAUCCCCUUCGUGUGGUCCUCUCGGAGCCAUGGGUCUGCCGAAGUCAAGAGCCCUCCUCUUAGACUGGGACACCAUCUAAGAGUCAGUAACCUCGACCAUGAGAUCACAUACUGAUGAAGGAACGACUGAAAGUAAUUAGCACCAGUGCCAAAAUCAAGUUCUACUUUUCCAGAAUAAUAGCUCAGGUAAAUUAUAAACUUAAUAUUAAGACAUAAGCCAAGUUACGUAAAUAUAUUAAUAGUUAAAUUGUAUCAGUAGAAAGCCUCCAACUAUCUUCAGCAUGCUUGCAUCAUUCAGAAACUCUUAUAAGUAAUUAAAAUAAUAAACAUGUACAAAAUGAGAGUCUUUGCACAUAAUUCAUGAAAGAGUUCCAAAAACUGAAAUAUAGCGAAUACAUUAUCUGUGAUUUCUCACUAACCUGAUUUUGAUGAUUGCAUAUUUAUCAUUGGUCCUUUUAGCAGUCUUUCCAGUUAUGGCCUUUGCGAUAAGUGUGACAGAUUAACAACACUUCGAAGUCAUUAAUUUUACUUUGAAAAUGAGGACUGUAUCUGUGUUGUAAGAUGAAUUUUAAACAAAUAUAAUUUUAAAAAUAUAAAUAUUUUCAAAUAAAGUAGAUGAGAUAUUUGUAUAAAAUGAAGUCUGGCUAGUAUACAUUCUUUGAUUUUUAUAGCUGAGGACUAAAUUUGGGUAAUCAUUUAAUGGGUCAUGAAAGUAAAGUGCUGAAGCUGCUCAUUUUACUCCUAUAACUAUUGAAAAUGAGAAUUCUAUUAAAGCUGUCUUAAUAUUGUCUCUAGCAUGGACUUUUAUUCAGAAACAUGUACGUACCCAUAGUUCUGUUAUAUAAUAUAUUUGAUGAAAGCUAGGGGAAAUCCCAUGGGCAAGAUUGCUUGAAGGUAAAGGGGCCCGAGAUCAUUGGUUAGCAUUCAGGGACUCCUACUAAGCUCAAGCUCAAAACAUCCCGACAUGUAUGAAGUCAAGGAAGGGAGCCAGGAGAGCUGCGUGGUUUAACAGGGAACUGCUCGGUAAGCUCAAGUGGAAGAGGAGAGAUUACAGAUCAUGGAAGGAGGGACUGGCCACUUGGGUAGAAUAUAAGGCUGUUGUCAGAGGGUGUAGGGAGACAACUAGGAAAGCUAAGGCCUCCUUAGAAUUAAACCUGGCAAGAAGGGUAAAGGACAACAGAAAGAGCUUUUUCAAAUACAUGGCAGAUAAAACUAACACCAGAGGCAAUGUAGGCCCACUGAUGAACAAGGUGGGUGCCCUGGUGGCAGAAGAUACAGAGAAGGCAGAGUUACUGAAUGCCUUCUUUGUCUCUGCCUAUUCUGCCGGAGGCUGUCCUGAGGAGCCCUGUACUGCUGUGGCCCCAGAGGAAGUCAGGACAAUGGAGGAGUGUGCCUUGGUUGAUGACGACUGGGUUACAGAGCAGUUAAGCAAUCUGUACAUCCAUAAAUCCAUGGGUCCAGAUCAGAUGCACCUGUGGGUGCUGAAGGAGCUGGCUGAGGUCAUUGCUAGGCCACUCACCAUCAUCUUUGCUAAGUCUUGGGAAAUGGGAGAGGUGCCUGAGGACUGGAGGAAAGCAAAUGUCACUCCAGUCUUCAAAAAGGGCAAGAAGGAGGACCCAGGUAACUACAGACCAGUCAGCCUCACCUCUAUCCCUGGGAAAGUGAUGGAACAACUUAGCCUUGGUGCCAUCUCAAGGCAUAUCAAGCAUAAGAGGGUCAUUAGGGGCAGUCAACAUGGCUUCACCAAGGGGAAGUCACGCUUGACCAACCUCACUGCCUUUUUUGAGGACAUAAAAAGGUGGCAGAGCGGUGGAUGUGGUCUAUCUUGAUUUCAGUAAAGAAUUUGACAUAGACUCCCACAGCAUCCUUACAGCUAAACCCAGGGAGCAUGGUCUAGAUGAUCAGGUAGGGAGGUGGACUGUGAACUGGCUAAAGGAAAGAAGCCAGAGAAUUGUGGUCAGUGGGGCAGAGUCUAGUUGGAGGCCUGUAUCUAGUGGAGUGCCGCAAGGGUCAGUACUGGGGCCUAUAUUAUUCAAUAUAUUCAUCAAUUAUUUGGAUGAGGGAAUAGAGUGUGCUAGCAGCAAGUUUGCUGGUGACACCAUACUGGGAGGAGUGGCUGACACACCAGAAGGCUGUGCUGCCAUCCAGCGAGACCUGGACAGGCUGGAGAGUUGGGUGGAGAAAAAUUUAAUGAAAUGUAACAUGGGCAAGUGUAGAGUAUUGCAUCUGGGCAGGAACAACCCCAGAUUCUAGUAUAAGUUGGGGAACGAACUAUAAAAGAGCAGUAUAGGGAAAAGGGACCUGGUGGUCCUGGUGGACAGCAGGAUGACCAUGAGCCAGUACUGAGCCCUUGAGGCCAGGAAGGCCUAUGGCAUCACGGGCUGUAUUACAAGAGGGGUGGUUAGUAGGUCAAGAGAGGUUCUCCUUCCCCUCU